rnacentral:rRNA from 1 species
GAUGAACGCUGGCGGCGUGCCUAAUACAUGCAAGUCGAGCGAACGGACGAGAAGCUUGCUUCUCUGAUGUUAGCGGCGGACGGGUGGGUAACACGUGGAUAACCUACCUAUAAGACUGGGAUAACUUCGGGAAACCGUAGCUAAUACCGGAUAAUAUUUUGAACCGCAUGGUUCAAAAGUGAAAGACGGUCUUGCUGUCACUUAUAGAUGGAUCCGCGCUGCAUUAGCUAGUUGGUAAGGUAACGGCUUACCAAGGCAACGAUGCAUAGCCGACCUGAGAGGGUGAUCGGCCACACUGGAACUGAGACACGGUCCAGACUCCUACGGGAGGCAGCAGUAGGGAAUCUUCCGCAAUGGGCGAAGGCCUGACGGAGCAACGCCGCGUGAGUGAUGAAGGUCUUCGGAUCGUAAAACUCUGUUAUUAGGGAAGAACAUAUGUGUAAGUAACUGUGCACAUCUUGACGGUACCUAAUCAGAAAGCCACGGCUAACUACGUG